GUUUGUGGCAAGUUAUUUUUUUAGUUGCAUUUAAUUUUUAGUUAGUAAUAUCUAUUUUCUUUCUGCUGUUCUACAGACAGGUCAUUGCUUCAGCUGUCUAACAUCCAGUUUGUGGUGCUGCACAACAAAACCCACUUUUUGGUGGAAAAUUUAAGCGAACCCAAAGGCUCUUUUAAGAGCCAUCCACAUUGCACAGGACAUUUUCUAUUGGACGUCUUUUUCAUUAUUGCCAGAAACGCAUACAACGCUGAAAACGCAUAAAAACGCUUUUGAUUCUAAAAAAAAAAACGCUUCUUGUGAUUCUGAAAAAAAAGCUUUUUGUGAUUCUGAAAAAAACCUUCCUGUGAGCUUGAAAAUCUUCUUCCUGUGAGCCUUAUAUUGCACCAAACAAAAAAAACCCCAAGUGAAUAACCACACAAACCAAUUGAACAUCAGCACAAGUUCGUGAACUACAACUACUGCAAGAGAAAAGGAAACUUCUCCUCUUCCAGUACACCUUGCUGUUGUCUUCAAGAAGGACCACUGAUUCAAGCUCAGCUUUUGAAGCCUACUGUUUAACAUUACAUUAGUUCAGUUUUUGUGGUGUUGUUUAUCAUACAGGUUUAUUUUAUUUAAAUAGGUUUUGUAAGGUAUAUACCAUUAAAUAUUCUUUAUGUAGUCUUGUUAAUCCCAUUUUGAUACAAAAACAUUUACUGUACAGUUGACGUUAAAGUACAUUUGGGUGACAUUUUAUUUAUUAUAAACAUUACAUCUGUGUUACUAUUACAUUAGUCUGAGUUAUUAAAUCUGUGCCAGUAUUACAUUAGUCUGAGUUUUACCAUCUGUUUUACAUUAGUCUUGAGUUAUUAAAUCUGUGUGAAGUAUAACAUUAUUUUGAGUUAUUGCACCUGUGUUAAGUAUUACAUUAGUCUUGAGUUAUUUAAUCUGUGCUAUUGUUACAUUAGUCUGAGUUAUAACAUCUGUGUUACAUUAGU